rnacentral:sRNA from 1 species
CAUUAUGAAAAAUUUUUAAGACCUAGAAAAAGUUUAAAAAAUAACUACCAUCAAGUUUAAGAAACAAGCAUUAUCAAGUCAGGAGAAACCUUCAGUACAUUCCUCCUUAAUUGCAUCCAGUCCUAUACAUCUUUAAACAUACAGCCUUUUUCUGUUUAUUAUUUUUAAUGAAUCUAACUAUUAAAAAUAAAACUUAAAGUAGCUUUUUAGGUAAACAAACCUCUUCUUAUGGUAAAGAAAUGAUAUAUCCGCAAGGGCCAUGGCUAUGUUAUCUGUAGUAGGAAUUAUUAAAUUGUUAUUUAUAAUAGCAUUAUUUCUUUAUUUUAACAUUUAGUUUCUAUGCCUUUGCAUAUGUCAACCUGGAUUAUAAUGAAGAACAUUGUUGCUAAAAAUGGAUUUUCCGGAUUAUUUUCAGGCCUAAUUCCUCGCUUAAUUAAAAUUGCUCCUGCUUGUGCCAUUAUGAUCAGUACAUAUGAAUUU